CCAGCAGCCGCGGUAAUUCCAGCUCCAAUAGCGUAUAUUAAAGUUGUUGCAGUUAAAAAGCUCGUAGUUGGAUUUGUGGCAUUCGCGUGCGGCCCGGCAUUCGUGCCGGUGUUUGCUAGCGUUGCCAUCCUUGGGUGGAACCUGUGUGGCAUUAGGUUGUCGUGCAGGGGAUGCCCAUCGUUUACUGUGAAAAAAUUAGAGUGUUCAAAGCAGGCUUAUGCCGUUGAAUAUAUUAGCAUGGAAUAAUAAGAUAGGACCUUGGUACUAUUUUGUUGGUUUGCGCACCGAGGUAAUGAUUAAUAGGGACAGUUGGGGGUAUUCGUAUUCCAUUGUCAGAGGUGAAAUUCUUGGAUUUUUGGAAGACGAACUAC
rnacentral:rRNA from 1 species